AUGGUGCGGCUGCAGCACCGCAGCGCGGAGCGGCACCUCGAGGGCGUCGCCGCCAAGCUGGCGGAGAUGGUGAAGAAGGGGGCGAAGAAGGCCGGCAAGGGGCGGAGCGUGGCGGUGGAGGGAGCCGAGGUGCGGAGGCUGGGCAAGUGGUACGGCGACGCCAUGGAGGUGAUGCUGGAGCACGCCAGGAUGGAGGAGCGCGUGCUGUUCCCCGACAUCCAGAGGGCUUCGUUCCCAGGGGUGUGCGAUAAGGUUCAGGAGCAGCACGGGAAGCACCUGCCCAUGAUGAACGGAAUCAAGGAGGAUAUAAAAACGCUUCUGACGCUGGAGCUGGGCAGCGCCCUCUUCUAUGAAGUGCUGGUCAACCUCUCCGUCCGCCUCAAAGCGUUGCAGGAUCACACCAAGGAGCACUUCAAGGAGGAAGAGAAGGAUAUGCUCCCACGAUUGGAAUCAGUACGGCGGAUGCAGCGCGAGGAGGGGAAUGUUCCUGACAAGUCCAACUCCGGAUGGGCGUCGGAGGCCAUGGGCACAAUGGAGAUGACGCACUCGAAGCUCUUCCCCUUCUUCAUGACCGGGCUCAUGCCUCAGGAGGCCGUGCAGUACCUCGACCUGGUGUGCAGAUGCACCAAGAACACCCGGCAUCUGGUCUCCAUGCUCAGGUCGCUCGCGGAGCGUCUGGAGGACGCGAACCCGUCGAUAAUCCACAACAACCCCACACGACUAUAUGAGCACCUACUUGUAAAAUCCCCAUAA
rnacentral:rRNA from 1 species